GAUGAACGCUGGCGGCGUGCCUAAUACAUGCAAGUCGAGCGAACAGACGAGGAGCUUGCUCCUCUGACGUUAGCGGCGGACGGGUGAGUAACACGUGGAUAACCUACCUAUAAGACUGGGAUAACUUCGGGAAACCGGAGCUAAUACCGGAUAAUAUAUUGAACCGCAUGGUUCAAUAGUGAAAGACGGUUUUGCUGUCACUUAUAGAUGGAUCCGCGCCGCAUUAGCUAGUUGGUAAGGUAACGGCUUACCAAGGCAACGAUGCGUAGCCGACCUGAGAGGGUGAUCGGCCACACUGGAACUGAGACACGGUCCAGACUCCUACGGGAGGCAGCAGUAGGGAAUCUUCCGCAAUGGGCGAAAGCUUGACGGAGCAACGCCGCGUGAGUGAUGAAGGUCUUCGGAUCGUAAAACUCUGUUAUUAGGGAAGAACAAAUGUGUAAGUAACUAUGCACGUCUUGACGGUACCUAAUCAGAAAGCAACGGCUAACUACGUG
rnacentral:rRNA from 1 species